rnacentral:rRNA from 1 species
CGGGACACGUGGUAUCCUGUCUGAAUAUGGGGGGACCAUCCUCCAAGGCUAAAUACUCCUGACUGACCGAUAGUGAACCAGUACCGUGAGGGAAAGGCGAAAAGAACCCCGGCGAGGGGAGUGAAAAAGAACCUGAAACCGUGUACGUACAAGCAGUGGGAGCACAGAGCAAUCUGUGUGACUGCGUACCUUUUGUAUAAUGGGUCAGCGACUUAUAUUCUGUAGCAAGGUUAACCGAAUAGGGGAGCCGAAGGGAAACCGAGUCUUAACUGGGCGUUAAGUUGCAGGGUAUAGACCCGAAACCCGGUGAUCUAGCCAUGGGCAGGUUGAAGGUUGGGUAACACUAACUGGAGGACCGAACCGACUAAUGUUGAAAAAUUAGCGGAUGACUUGUGGCUGGGGGUGAAAGGCCAAUCAAACCGGGAGAUAGCUGGUUCUCCCCGAAAGCUAUUUAGGUAGCGCCUCGUGAAUUCAUCUCCGGGGGUAGAGCACUGUUUCGGCAAGGGGGUCAUCCCGACUUACCAACCCG